rnacentral:rRNA from 1 species
UACGUAGGGGGCAAGCGUUGUCCGGAGUUACUGGGCGUAAAGGGCACGCAGGCGGUUGUGUCAGUUUGCGGGGACAGUGGGUGGCUUAACUGCCCAAGGGUCGCAAAGACGGCACGACUGGAGAGCGAGAGAGGGACCUGGAACUCCGGGUGGAGCGGUGAAAUGCGUAGAGAUCCGGAAGAACACCACUGGCGCAGGCAAGGUCCUGGCUCGUAUCUGACGCUGAGGUGCGAAAGCUAGGGGAGCGAACGGGG